rnacentral:rRNA from 1 species
GCACGGAGUUAGCCGGGGCUUUCUUUACCUGCUACUGUCAUUAUCAUCACAGGCGAAAGAGCUUUACGACCCUAAGGCCUUCGUCACUCACGCGGCAUGGCUAGAUCAGGCUUGCGCCCAUUGUCUAAGAUUCCCCA